rnacentral:tRNA from 1 species
GUACCUAUAGCUCAGUUGGUAGAGCACACGACUUUUAAUCGUGUUGUCAUGGGUUCAAAUCCCAUUAGGUACA